UAUUUAAGGUGAGAAUGAGAUUUAUAAAUCAUAAAGUGAUAAAACCAUAUUGUAUCUCAUAUAUGCAAAGUGGAGAAAGUAUGGCUAAAAUUGUAAAGUUUUUUUAUUUCAUGAUUAUCUUUAUUUCUCCAUUUGUUGUUAAAACAAAAGAAGACAUAAGCAUCUGGCACCAAAAACUUCCUGGGGGAUUAUGUUCUUCUAAUAAUGAGUGUCCAACGUAUGGUUGCCCUCAACAAGCUGUGUGUAAUUUUUUUUAUCCUGCUGUUCUGCAUCAAGGAUCUCGGAUAGGUUUCUGUGGUUGUUUUUGAGUGAUGUGUUCGUAACAUUCUACUAGAAAAUUUUAUAAGUCCUUAAGGUCAAAAGUCCAAGGCAGAGCCAAGCAAGGUCCAAUUCCAGGUGGCAUUAUCCCAUUGGUCCAGGAAUACACAUGUCAGCUAUAAAUACAAACACAGUGUCAGAAAUUUCCAGAACCCACACAGUCAGUGACACAUCAACACAAACAGAUCCAGAUUUUCUCUCUCUUUUCUGUUAGAUCAAAACAGAAAAAAUCACCAAGAACAAAAACCCUAAAAAAAUUAUCCAGAACUCAAAUUCAUCACAGUUCUCAGUGAUUCAUCAAAGAAUCAUCAUCAUCGAACCGAAUCCUUCACAAUUCCAGUGCGGAUCCGUCACCUUUAGCAACGAAUCCAAGCACGAUCACGAAGGAUCCGAAAGUUUGAGAAGAAGAGGGAAAGAAGCGGAUUCGGACCGGUAAAGAAGAAGAAGAGAAGAACCGAUUUAUUUUCGGAUCCAAGCCAGAAAAUCAAAACCGCGCCAAUAUUCAAGUUUUCCGAAGAUCUCGUUCAAAAUCUCCAACCAAAAAUCACAGAGAGUUCAGCGAAGAAGGCGCAACCAUUGUCCAACCUCUCUUCAAAGCAAGCUAACAAUUUAGAUUCAUAAUUCCUGAAGAUACCUCCACAUGAAGAAGUAUUGUUGCUAGAGGAGCCGUCAGUGUUGCAUUUGAUCCAGUCGGUAACAGGUGGGGACCAAAUAACUUCUUUGAUGAUAGGUGGUUUUGGAGGCUUGAUCCUGAUGUUAAACUUCUUCAACAAUACAAAGUCUCUGAUAGAGGAAUUAGAAGUUUUUGUAGUAUUGUUACCAGCUUAUGACUUAUUAUAGUUGUAUCAAGAUACUAGUAGUGUAUGUUAACUAAACCUAAAACAAUAGGAUCCCUUGUCUACUAAAAUCCACAUGAUACUUUUGACAAA